AUGGUGGGUAACGUAGCUCCGUGGCUGUUUACGGUUGCAGCUUCAACGGUGGAUCGGUUGUUUCCUACUACCAUCACUCUCGGAAAUGGCCAGACACUUGUGGGACAAUCCUUGUUUGCGGAUAUGGAAAGAGCAAAUCAGCUUCACAAUAUCAAGCUCUACAUGAAUAGCAUGUGUAACUUGACUCUUGCAAACAGUACAGAUGUGAAGGGAAAUAUUGUCCUUUGCUUCAGUAUAACCUCUGUUUUCCCGAUUGCUCAAUUGUAUAGAUUAGCAUCAGCAGUGGUCAACAACGGAGGAGAAGGUUUUAUCUUCACGCAGCAAAAUGCUGACCUUCUUGUUGCCUGGCAGUUUCGUGCCAUGUCCAUCCCAUGCGUUUCUAUUGAUUUGGAGGUUGCUUACAAGAUAAUUCAGUAUUUCAGUACCAGCCAGAAUCCGGUAGCAAAGGUUUCUUUAAGUCGGACAACAACUGGAAGUGGAUUUCCUGAUCCAAAGAUUGCAGCUUUCUCAUCAAGGGGUCCAAGCUCCGUCUAUCCUGCAGUGCUCAAGCCUGACAUUGCUGCACCGGGGGUGAAUAUUUUAGCAGCAGCGCCACAGGUUGGUAUUUACAAGGAAUUGGGGCUCUACUUCUUCGAUUCAGGGACAUCGAUGGCUUGCCCACAUGUUUCCGGUAUUAUAGCCAUGCUCAAGUCACUCCACCCAGACUGGUCACCUGCUGCUUUCAAAUCAGCACUCAUGACAACUGAUAGCAUACAUUACAGACAACAACGGUCUUCCAUUACUAGCUGA
rnacentral:rRNA from 1 species